rnacentral:tRNA from 1 species
GUGGGUAUAGCUCAGUUGGUUAGAGCGCCAGAUUGUGGCUCUGGAGGUCGUAGGUUCGACUCCUAUUACCGCUACUA